CGAAAUAGUUUAUUUUCUUUUUGAUAAAAGAACGAGCAGAAAUAUAUACUUUAAUCUCCAUUAUUGCAAUUUUAUUUAGCUGUGAAUACAUAAGAUUAUGGAAAAUUUGUAGAGAAUAGUACGGAAUUAAUGUGGAUGAAAUAAGAUUUUUGGAAAGUGCAUGUAUGUAUAAAUAUAUUACAGUAUAUAUUAAAGUAUGCUAAAUUACAUAAUUAUGAGUCCCAGCAUCCCGUUAAAUGUAAUAUCAGAAGAAAUACAAAGGUUUCACCAAACGUAGGAAAUGACAGGAAUAUUUUACUAUUUAUUAAAUAUCUGAAUCUCUUGAUAAACAAUGAACUAAAGUAGGGUUACUCCGCUUGACCUUAAUUUCUAUGUAUAAGAUCGAUUAUAAUUAAAUUUAAUUAUAAUUUUAUACAAUAUCCAUUAUAUUGUAGGAACAGUGAAGAAUUGAUCUUGUAUGAUGAGAGUCUUGUUUGCUAAGGGAAAAAUUAAAUCAAUUCAUGGAUAUGUAAUUUGCAAGCUGCGAUUCAUAAAAAAGAGAGCACAAUCGAGCGAAACGCGUCGAACAAACAAAUAUUCCGAGGCUCCGCUCAUAAAAGCCUCGAUUCCACCGGGGUUGCUAUUCCAUCUUUAACGAAUCGAAACUUGUGAGAGGCGAGCUGAGCGUGGGCGGUCGGUGGCGCGUUAAAACACUUUCUUCGACAAAAGCCAUCGAGGCUCGAGGUCAGCCUCUUAACCCAGAUUCCGAGUCGGAAGGCGAGAAGACAGAAGCUCUCGGUUACACACGAUCAACGCGCUCAAUUCAAGAGAGUCCCUUAACCUCUUCGUCUUCGGAAACAUCCGCCUGCAACUCUUCGUUCCAAUGCGACCACCCCAAAAAGAGAAGACGAGGUAGAAACAAAAGAAAGAAACAUAAAGCAAGAAGGAAAGGAAGGCAAAAAACGUAAAAAGAAAGGGAAAAAUUUCAGUAUAAGCGUAAUAACUACGGCGCGCGAUACAGCGACGGUAAAAGAAUGGUCCAAAUGAAGCCUCCUAAAUUUCAACACCCUCUUCGCCAGAGCGACCAGAGCUCCACAACGCCAUUCUCCGGCUCUCUUCCUCCGCCUUCGACUUCCCUUUGUCCGCUCUCUCGUUUUUUCCCCCGCUCCCUUUAGCCCUCGCCCCGUUUUCUCGAUACUCUCCCGGUAUAUCCAGCCUGUUCCUUUUCUUCCUCGGUCCUUUCGGCGGUCUCUGUCGGCGAGCCGAUGCCCUCGCAAUCAGCCGGCAAAGUGGAGUCGCGCGCGCGACGACGGCGUCGGCGGUGGCGGCGGUGGUAGCAAGCGGUAGCGGCGGCUGUGUGGCGGUGGCGUAUCCGUGAAACACGCGGUGCAAGUGCCGGGGUGGCGAUGACGCAAAGUCAGCGUGGGCCAAUGGACUGGCUGCUGUACGGGAGGUGUUCGGUGGGCCACGAUUGGGCGUGGCUCGAGCAGAGGGUGCGUCAGGGGUGCCACCGCCGACGUGGCUGCGUGGGGGAAUGCCAAAGUGUGCCCCGGGGUGUAAUAUCAUACCGCUAGGUGGAUAAAUAGACGCACGAAACUAGUAGGGACGAGUGGGGAACGAGUAACGAACGGAACAGCAGCGAGGAUGAGACGAGGAAGGAGAGGAGGGACGACUGGUGAAACUGGGGUGGAUCGCGGGGUUGGAGGAGAGUGAGAGAGUGAGAGAGAGAGACAGAAACAGAGACCUGGCUAAAAGAGUAACCAGAGGAUGACGGACACGCGAGAGAGGCAGCGCGUGGAGGAAGAGAGGAGGGUGGUAGAAAGGGCGAGAAAGGGAGAGGAGGAAAUGAGGAAAGGGUCGUGCACCGAGCGAGGGUUACUCAAGGGGGUUAGACGGAAAGACGGAGAGGCGAGACAAAGCGUGUUGGAACAGGACGAGGGAUCGGUUGCCAGAGGUAGAGUAGGGGAAAUUGGGUGGCUACGCGAUCCGAGCGAGACUAGACUAGAACAAAUAGUGGUUGUAGCCAUCCUCAGCUUCUGAGGUAUUUUCCACUCGUGCGAGUUGCACGCAUUCGAACGCCGGCCCAGGCUUGCUCACGGCGAACCGUGGAACCGUUUGUAUGCACAGGCCGUGUCGUGGCUUUCGUCGGAGGAUCGACGGUGGUGGCGGCAGCCGGUGAUGCUUAGUGGUGGUGGCGUUGCCGCUGGAAAAUGCCCAACUCGCCCCCGUGUUUCACGGCGAUACACCAUCCGCACACGACCGGCAUGUCGAAAAAUUGUUGCGGAUAAACUGUUUGGUACUGUAAAGCACUCGUUAUCGGAAGGAACUAGCGAGUCUUGUUAAAUCACCAGAGAAAUAUAAUAAGAUUGUUUACGUUUAAGCGGCGAGGAUGGAGAAAUGAAGAAGAAGAUAUCCGAAAAGAUAUAAUACAAACGUGAAGGAGAAUAAGAAGAAAAUGAUUGAAUGUGCACGAAUGUUAUAUUCCCAAAGAACGAAAACUAAAAAGGAAGACUAUAAACUCGAUAUCAAGAAGGAAACAAAAACGAUGUGGAAUGGUCAUCGAUCGUGAAACCUACAACCAAUCUGGAGUCAUCGUCGUCGAAGGCUUGCUUACCAUCCUGUCCGUAUCGUCUCGCAUGCGAUUUUGUAGAAUGCUGAGCACAGUGUGUAGCGAAACAGGAUGUUGUCAGCUGAAAUUAAAUUUUCCCCGUAGAGCCGGCGGGUCGCUCGGCAACCCGAUAUUGUGGGCGUUAAGCUACGUACACAAGCGACGACAGACGCAGACAAUGUCGCCGUAGAAUGGUUCGUCGGUGUUCACUUUGCCCGGUUUCACAAAUCGCCUUAUUCUGCGACAGGAAAGAUGAUAAUUUGGUUGUUGCGCGUUCUUCGCGCGUUGCUGUUAAAUAUCCCGCCAUUUUGCUCCAGAACGCGUUAGAAAUAUUGUUUUCCAGCUACCCGGUUCUGUAUUGUCCUUAGCCAUGUGAAAUUGCGAUGGACCUGUUUACAGGGUGUCUGGAUUUUAUUCGAUGAAACGAGGAUGUGAUGAUGAUGGAAAUCGAGGUACGGUGGUUGUAGAAGCUGGAAUAUUUUUCGAUCGGAUGCUGCGAGGCGAUCGAUCAGAAGGCUGUGAUCAUACAGAGAGCAUUUGGCAUUGGCAGAGAUUGACAUUUGGAGCAUUGGCAUUGGCUUCUUGUUCUUGCGUUUACCGCCCUGUAUAGCCACGAUCUUAUGCGGAUAUCUACAGAGAAGAUCUGUGGGCUAACUAUUCAUAAGGCCGAGUUUUCGAAACGGUCCAUUACCAUGAAAAAUGAUCUUCAGCUUUAGCGACCUGAAAUACCCAGGAAAAGUCACAUUCGGAUCAAAAAUUGUACAGUCCGAAUAGGAUACUUUAUCUGAUUUUGGCAUUUUAUUGAUUUGGAUUUCUGCGUAUUUUUUAGUGUUUGUUUAAUUAACGGUUUAUAUUAUUCCUUUGGGAAAAGAGGAUAUUUAUUGACAUACGCUUGUGUAUAGUGCGAUUUUAAUGAAAAUCUUGGCCAUCUGUUAUCUCCGAAUAUUAUUAUCUUCAGUGAAAAGUAAAAUAUUUACUAUGAAUAAUACGAAUAAUAAAUUGAAACUCGGUAACAAUUUUCAAUACUUUACGAAAAGAAUGAACUAACGAAUCAUAGAUAAAUACCAAUUAGUCAAACAAGGAGAUUCAGAAUUAAGUAAUAGGGGUAGGUAUACGUAAAAACGAGGGGAGACAAGCUCGUGCCCUGGAAUAUAUUAUGAAAAGUAAUAAAGUGACUCUAUAUCCGGCUGGGUGACAGGUCCCUUUAUGAACGAAUGAUAAUCUGUUGCGGUAAAUGCAUCUGUUCUGUCGCAAGCAGGUGUUGCAUUUUCGAUUCGAAUAAAGAAGACAGAUUAAGGGUGCGAACGUUUUUGUUGGGUCACGUGCUUCAGUCAAAAUAAAUCUGUUCUUGUAAUCGGAUUUAUGGGUUAGGUCUGAAAACCGAUCAACUUCUCUCAUACGGCUAUUAACUUAAAAAUAUAGUAUCACUACUUUGGCCCUUCUGGUUAGGUUCAUCAUUUCGGUCUACGAUACUCAAGACGAGAAAAACAUUAGCUUUUUUAGUGAAUUAGUUAGUACGUGAAAAUGUCUCAAACUUUUUAUACAAAUAAUCAGGAGGUUUGAAGCGAUUGCUUAGAAAUUUAAUAUUGAACAGGAACAUUAUUUUGGAAUUUCGAUGGAUAUUCAAACGUUCGCAUGAUUCAGACAUUUAGACAUUUAAA